UACGUAGGGGGCGAGCGUUGUCCGGAGUUACUGGGCGUAAAGAGCCCGCAGGCGGUCGUGUCAGUUCAGACUGACAGCUCCCAGCUUCACUGGGAGAGGCGUAUGAAGACGGCACGACUUGAGCGAUAGAGAGGGACAGGGAAUUCCGGGUGGAGUGGUGAAAUGCGUAGAUAUCCGGAGGAACACCAAAGGCGAAGGCACUGUCCUGGCUAUCUGCUGACGCUCAGGGGCGAAAGCGAGGGGAGCGAACGGG
rnacentral:rRNA from 1 species